ACGGAUUAGUGGCGAACGGGUGAGUAACAUAUCGGAACGUACCCAGUAAUGGGGGAUAACUAGUCGAAAGACUGGCUAAUACCGCAUACGCCCUGAGGGGGAAAGCGGGGGAUCGAAAGACCUCGUGUUAUUGGAGCGGCCGAUAUCUGGUUAGCUAGUUGGUGGGGUAAAGGCCUACCAAGGCGACGAUCAGUAGCUGGUCUGAGAGGACGACCAGCCACACUGGAACUGAGACACGGUCCAG
rnacentral:rRNA from 1 species